ACGAACGCUGGCGGCACGCUUAACACAUGCAAGUCGAACGAGAGAAGAGAAGCUUGCUUUUCUGAUCUAGUGGCGGACGGGUGAGUAACACGUGAGCAAUCUGCCUUUCAGAGGGGGAUACCGAUUGGAAACGAUCGUUAAUACCGCAUAAUAUAAUUGAACCGCAUGAUUUGAUUAUCAAAGAUUUAUCGCUGAAAGAUGAGCUCGCGUCUGAUUAGCUAGUUGGUAAGGUAACGGCUUACCAAGGCGACGAUCAGUAGCCGGACUGAGAGGUUGAUCGGCCACAUUGGGACUGAGACACGGCCCAGACUCCUACGGGAGGCAGCAGUGGGGAAUAUUGCACAAUGGAGGAAACUCUGAUGCAGCGAUGCCGCGUGAGGGAAGAAGGUUUUAGGAUUGUAAACCUCUGUCUUCAGGGACGAAAAAUGACGGUACCUGAGGAGGAAGCUCCGGCUAACUACGUGCCAGCAGCCGCGGUAAUACGUAGGGAGCGAGCGUUGUCCGGAAUUACUGGGUGUAAAGGGAGCGUAGGCGGGAUCGCAAGUCAGAUGUGAAAACUAUGGGCUUAACCCAUAAACUGCAUUUGAAACUGUGGUUCUUGAGUGAAGUAGAGGUAAGCGGAAUUCCUAGUGUAGCGGUGAAAUGCGUAGAUAUUAGGAGGAACAUCAGUGGCGAAGGCGGCUUACUGGGCUUUAACUGACGCUGAGGCUCGAAAGCGUGGGGAGCAAACAGGAUUAGAUACCCUGGUAGUCCACGCCGUAAACGAUGAUUACUAGGUGUGGGGGGACGGACCCCAUCCGUGCCGCAGCAAUCGCAAUAAGAUAACCACCUGGGGAUUACGACAGCAAGGUAAAAACUCAAAGGAAUUGACGGGGGCCCGCACAAGCAGUGGAGUAUGUGGAUUAAUUCGAAGCAACGCGAAGAACCUUACCAGGUCUUGACAUCGUAUGCAUAGCUCAGAGAUGAGUGAAAUCUCUUCGGAGACAUAUAGACAGGUGGUGCAUGGUUGUCGUCAGCUCGUGUCGUGAGAUGUUGGGUUAAGUCCCGCAACGAGCGCAACCCUUACUGUUAGUUGCUACGCAAGAGCACUCUAGCAGGACUGCCGUUGACAAAACGGAGGAAGGUGGGGAUGACGUCAAAUCAUCAUGCCCCUUAUGACCUGGGCCUCACACGUACUACAAUGGCUGUCAACAGAGGGAAGCAAAGCCGCGAGGUGGAGCAAACCCCUAAAAGCAGUCUUAGUUCGGAUUGUAGGCUGCAACCCGCCUACAUGAAGUCGGAAUUGCUAGUAAUCGCAGAUCAGCAUGCUGCGGUGAAUACGUUCCCGGGCCUUGUACACACCGCCCGUCACGCCAUGGGAGUCGGUAACACCCGAAGCCUGUAGUCUAACCGCAAGGAGGACGCAGUCGAAGGUGGGAUUGAUGACUGGGGUG
rnacentral:rRNA from 1 species